GUACGAGGGGGAAACGACAUCGAAAGCUUGCUUUGAUGGGCGUCGACCGGCGCACGGGUGAGUAACGCGUAUCCAACCUGCCCACCACUUGGGAUAACCUUGCGAAAGUAAGACUAAUACCCAAUGAUAUCCCACGAAGGCAUCCGAAUGGGAUUAAAGAUUUAUCGGUGAUGGAUGGGGAUGCGUCUGAUUAGCUUGUUGGCGGGGUAACGGCCCACCAAGGCAACGAUCAGUAGGGGUUCUGAGAGGAAGGUCCCCCACAUUGGAACUGAGACACGGUCCAAACUCCUACGGGAGGCAGCAGUGAGGAAUAUUGGUCAAUGGGCGAGAGCCUGAACCAGCCAAGUAGCGUGCAGGAUGACGGCCCUAUGGGUUGUAAACUGCUUUUAUAAGGGAAUAAAGUGGGUCUCGUGAGACUUUUUGCAUGUACCUUAUGAAUAAGGACCGGCUAAUUCCGUG
rnacentral:rRNA from 1 species